UACGUAGGGGGCAAGCGUUGUCCGGAAUCAUUGGGCGUAAAGAGCGUGUAGGCGGCCCGAUAAGUCCGUCGUGAAAGUCCAGGGCUCAACCCUGGGAUGCCGGUGGAAACUGUCGGGCUAGAGUCCGGAAGAGGCGAGUGGAAUUCCUGGUGUAGCGGUGGAAUGCGUAGAGAUCGGGAAGAACAUCAGUGGCGAAGGCGGCCUGCUGGGCUGUUGCUGACGCUGAGGCGCGACAGCGUGGGGAGCAAACAGG
rnacentral:rRNA from 1 species